rnacentral:rRNA from 1 species
GAUGAACGCUGGCGGCGUGCCUAAUACAUGCAAGUCGAGCGAACAGACGAGGAGCUUGCUCCUCUGACGUUAGCGGCGGACGGGUGAGUAACACGUGGAUAACCUACCUAUAAGACUGGGAUAACUUCGGGAAACCGGAGCUAAUACCGGAUAAUAUAUUGAACCGCAUGGUUCAAUAGUUAAAGACGGUUUUGCUGUCACUUAUAGAUGGAUCCGCGCCGCAUUAGCUAGUUGGUAAGGUAACGGCUUACCAAGGCGACGAUGCGUAGCCGACCUGAGAGGGUGAUCGGCCAAAAUGGAACUGAGACACGGUCCAGACUCCUACGGGAGGCAGCAGUAGGGAAUCUUCCGCAAUGGGCGAAAGCCUGACGGAGCAACGCCGCGUGAGUGAUGAAGGUCUUCGGAUCGUAAAACUCUGUUAUUAGGGAAGAACAAAUGUGUAAGUAACUAUGCACGUCUUGACGGUACCUAAUCAGAAAGCCACGGCUAACUACGUG